UAAGGGGCAUCACAAUCAUA
rnacentral:siRNA from 1 species